AGUGAACGCUGGCGGUAGGCCUAACACAUGCAAGUCGAACGGCAGCACAGUAAGAUUUUGCUCUUACGGGUGGCGAGUGGCGGACGGGUGAGGAAUACAUCGGAAUCUACUUUUUCGUGGGGGAUAACGUAGGGAAACUUACGCUAAUACCGCAUACGACCUACGGGUGAAAGCAGGGGAUCUUCGGACCUUGCGCGAUUGAAUGAGCCGAUGUCGGAUUAGCUAGUUGGGGGGGUAAAGGCCCACCAAGGCGACGAUCCGUAGCUGGGCUGAGAGGAUGAUCGGCCACACUGGAACUGAGACACGGUCCAGACUCCUACGGGAGGCAGCAGUGGGGAAUAUUGGGCAAUGGGCGCAAGCCUGAUCCAGCCAUACCGCGUGGGUGAAGAAGGCCUUCGGGUUGUAAAGCCCUUUUGUUGGGAAAGAAAAGAAGCAGGUUAAUACCCGGCUGUUCUGACGGUACCCAAAGAAAAAGCAACGGCUAACUUCGUG
rnacentral:rRNA from 1 species